UACGUAGGUGGCAAGCGUUUAUCCGGGAAUUAUUGGGCGUAAAGCGCGCGCAGGUGGUUUCUUAAGUCUGAUGUGAAAGCCCACGGCUCAACCGUGGAGGGUCAUUGGAAACUGGGAGACUUGAGUGCAGAAGAGGAAAGUGGAAUUCCAUGUGUAGCGGUGAAAUGCGUAGAGAUAUGGAGGAACACCAGUGGCGAAGGCGACUUUCUGGUCCGAUACUGACGCUGAGGUGCGAAAGCGUGGGGAGCGAUCCG
rnacentral:rRNA from 1 species